GAUGAAGAACGUAGCGAAAUGCGAUAAGUAAUGUGAAUUGCAGAAUUCAGUGAAUCAUCGAAUCUUUGAACGCACCUUGCGCCCUUUGGCCAUUCCGAAGGGCAUGCCUGUUUGAGUAUCAUGAACACCUCAACUCUUCAUGGUUUUCCAUGAUGAGCUUGGACUUUGGGGGUCUUGCUGGCCUGUGGGUCGGCUCCUCUCAAAUGAAUCAGCUUGCCGGUUUUUGGUGGGCAUCACAGGUGUGAUAACUAUCUACGCUUGUGGUUUUCCACCAGGGUAACCUUCAGCAGUGGAGGUUCACUGGAGCUUACAAAUGUCUCUACUCUGUGAGGACAGCCCUUUGAAUGUUUGAUCUCAAAUCAGGUAGGACUACCCGCUGAACUUAAGCAUAUCAAUAAGCGGAGGA
rnacentral:misc_RNA from 1 species